rnacentral:lncRNA from 1 species
GGAUAAUUCCCUUGGUUCUGUAAAAACAUUUUUUUGUGUAUUGCUAAAUGUGAGUAAUUUUGUGAGUAUGCAAUAUCCAAUUUCUUGUUGUUGCUAAGCUUUACAUUUUCAAAUAUAUCAAGUCGUAUAUAAAAUGAACAAUUCACAACAAUUCAAAUAAUAAAUACAUAAACAGACUAAAUAUUCACAUGCAUACAAUAUAAAAACUAUAAAGGUAGAAUGCGGUUCGUUUCCCCUCUAGCGCCUCACGGGUAAUGUAGUCGAUGAUGUUGAGGUAGACAAUGGAAGCGGGCAGAGGUCCUUUAAACUGAAAACUUCAAUGACCAUACUUCCUGUUCUACGAUUUCCGGUAUCUUUGGGAAAAGUUUCAAGGGGGGUUGGAAAAAGAGAUUAAAGAAAAAGUAUCCGUGUUGUCGUGUACAUGAAGUGAAACUAGACGGAGGAAGAGGAGGGCCAGUGUCUUAGAUGUAAUAGGGGAAGGAAACUCCUGGAGAUGCGCAAAUGCACCGUCUGCUGUUUUGAACCAUUUGAUAUAGACGACCACCCCCUUACAACACCAAUGACCUUCACCAUUGAUCCAUUUAUCGUUGUGUCUCAGAUUCUGUAAUGGAAAAUAGAGGUGAGUAUUUAUUGCCAUACUUUGCCCUGUCUUGAUACUAAUGAUGCUGAAUAAUUGAG